GAAAGAAGAACUUCUGAAACAAAACUUUGGUGUUGAAAGCGGAUAAGGGUGUGAUAAGACAUGGCAACUUCAACAGGCAGUGGUGAAACAGUUGGAGAACAAAAUGAUAAAGGAGAUCAACUCAGUCAUGUUGAAUCAAGGGUGACGUGUGUUAAUUGCUUAGCAACCCCGAUUUUCUACCUGCCAGCGAUGAAAGUGUUCAUCUGCCAGGAUUGCUGCCCGUCCAAUCAAGAGAAGGAACCAGUGCGAGAGUUCAACUCUUACGAAAAUAAUCCCAAUGAAGAAAAUAACAAAUAUAAUUUGGAAAUCAAUGAUGGGUUUAUUUACAAAGCCUCGGCAUGGGAUGACAAGAAGUUCAAACAGGAGCUCAUGCUUUAUAAAGACAAAGUAAGAGAAGGCUCAACAAGAGACCUUAAUCCAGAAAUGGCUGUUGUUUUUAAUGGCCAGGAAAAAGGAAAGUAUGCAGUAUCAUUUAGCGGUAGAGAAGGCCAGAAAAGUUUGUGCCUUAAAAACGUCAGGAUUCACAAAGAUACAGACGAACCUAGAGAGGUCAUGGAUAUCGCUGGCAAUACUAUUUGUUCUGUCAUUGUUAAAAGAUCUGUACCUCCUUUAGUCCGUGUUCGAGUUGAAGGUUUAAGCUCACAUUUUGGGACAAAGUAUACUCGAGGACAACCAAAAGAUUAUCUUACGAUUGAUCUUUAUCCAGCAAAUGAUGUUGAGGAUUUUGAAGCCUGUAUAACGCUUGCGACAAAAAUUAAUACAACAAUGGAGCUUGCUGAUUGUCCUCUACCACCUGGAUUGAUCAACGUCAUGAGGCCAAUUAAAGAAGGCUUGUUAAAUGUGCAGUUUCCCCAUUCCGAACUAAACCAAGCACUUUGCAUACUGGAUAUGCAAAAGUUAUGUAUUUAUAAUACCAAUGGAUCAGAAGUGCCGAAUGACAGACCAUUCUAUGUCAUCUUUUUUUAUAAGCAUAAUUAUGGUACUGAAUGUACCGCAGCAGCCAUCACAUUGUUGGAUAACAUCUUUUUUUAUAAGCAUAAUUAUGGUACUGAAUGUACCGCAGCAGCCAUCACAUUGUUGGAUAACACUACCGAUAUCAGAAUAAUUGAGCCUUCAGGGCAGCAACACGUAGCAUUGAAACCAGUUGGUGAAGAAUCCUUAUCAGAGGGCCCAUAUUCUUGGAGGCGCAGUUUCAAAACCAUCACCCCCCAUGAAAAAUCAAUGUUUACAAAUUCUAAAGAGUUUUUGGAAGAAUUCUUAGGAAAGCCAGCAAGAAAUGCAGUUAGUGUGAAAGCUGAUUCACUGGAUAGAUGUGCUUCUCACUGGGGGCAACCCUUACCUAAAUCAAGUACCUCUGGAGGAGAAGAUUGGUAUGCUAAUGAUAUAGAUUUAAUGGAGGUUUCCAAUCCAACCAAUGAGACGAAUGCGAUGCUACUGGAGAUGUGGGAAAAUGCGAUGGGUGUCUUUAUUGUGAUUGAAGCAGAAGGUCUUGUGCCCGGGAGUUCAAUAGAGAGUGGAGGGUUGGAUCCAGAUAGUGUGCAGCAUUUCCAGCGUUGUCUUGCAGAGAUUAACGAAGCCAUCUUCGACACUGAUUACAGCCUAGCUAUGUCACAUAUGCAUGGUACAAAAAGAGUCUUUCAAGAGUCCAAGAUACGACCUAUCAAGAAAUUCCUGGCCAAUGAUUGUACUGCACUGUUGAAGAAAAUAUUCUUCUGUGCAGAUCAUCUUAAUGAGCAGUUGAAUUUUUUGGUGUGAACUACUGAAUUGCUUUGUGGAACAUGGGCUCUCAAGAGGUCUUCAUGGAGUGAACCACUUGAUUGCUUGAUUAGAAUGCCUUGAUGGAGUUAUGGGUUCAGGAUUUUUGAAAUUAAAUCAUCUAGACUAUUGUAUGAUAGUUGUCAUAGUUACAACAUGAAAAUCAAUAAAAAUUCAGCAACUGUGACCUAAAACAUUUUCAAGAAGUGUGACUGAUUGACCUCGUUAGCUGCAUCGCUUUCAAACACAUCUGGGCAACACUAAGACAUGAGACCAUUGUCAUACGUACACGGAGACAAUAUAAACACUGUACAUGUAC
rnacentral:misc_RNA from 1 species